AGGAAUAUUGGUCAAUGGGCGCGAGCCUGAACCAGCCAAGUAGCGUGAAGGAUGAAGGUCCUAUGGAUUGUAAACUUCUUUUAUACGGGAAUAAAGUGGUCCACGUGUGGGCUUUUGCAUGUACCGUAUGAAUAAGCAUCGGCUAACUCCGUGCCAGCAGCCGCGGUAAUACGGAGGAUGCGAGCGUUAUCCGGAUUUAUUGGGUUUAAAGGGAGCGCAGACGGGGGAUUAAGUCAGUUGUGAAAGUUUGCGGCUCAACCGUAAAAUUGCAGUUGAUACUGGUUCCCUUGAGUGCAGUUGAGGCAGGCGGAAUUCGUGGUGUAGCGGUGAAAUGCAUAGAUAUCACGAAGAACUCCGAUUGCGAAGGCAGCCUGCUAAGCUGCAACUGACAUUGAGGCUCGAAAGUGUGGGUAUCAAACAGGAUUAGAUACCCUGGUAGUCCACACGGUAAACGAUGAAUACUCGCUGUUUGCGAUAUACUGCAAGCGGCCAAGCGAAAGCGUUAAGUAUUCCACCUGGGGAGUACGCCGGCAACGGUGAAACUCAAAGGAAUUGACGGGGGCCCGCACAAGCGGAGGAACAUGUGGUUUAAUUCGAUGAUACGCGAGGAACCUUACCCGGGCUUAAAUUGCAGAUGAAUUACGGUGAAAGCCGUAAGCCGCAAGGCAUCUGUGAAGGUGCUGCAUGGUUGUCGUCAGCUCGUGCCGUGAGGUGUCGGCUUAAGUGCCAUAACGAGCGCAACCCUUGUUGUCAGUUACUAACAGGUUCCGCUGAGGACUCUGACAAGACUGCCAUCGUAAGAUGUGAGGAAGGUGGGGAUGACGUCAAAUCAGCACGGCCCUUACGUCCGGGGCUACACACGUGUUACAAUGGGGGGUACAGAGGGCCGCUACCACGCGAGUGGAUGCCAAUCCCCAAAACCUCUCUCAGUUCGGACUGGAGUCUGCAACCCGACUCCACGAAGCUGGAUUCGCUAGUAAUCGCGCAUCAGCCACGGCGCGGUGAAUACGUUCCCG
rnacentral:rRNA from 1 species